UCGCCGAACUGGUCAGCCGGAACGGGCCGCUGGCCCCGCUCGUGGCGGCGCGACGGGCGGCCCACCCGUCUUCCGGCGAGAUCAAUUUCCGCCUCGACGAUCC
rnacentral:tRNA from 1 species